rnacentral:rRNA from 1 species
UACGUAGGGUGCAAGCGUUAAUCGGAAUUACUGGGCGUAAAGAGCGCGCAGGCGGUCGUUUUAAGUCGAAUGUGAAAGCCCCCGGCUCAACUGGGGAGGGUCACGCGAUACUGAUCGACUCGAAGGCAGGAGAGGGUAGUGGAAUUCCCGGUGUAGUGGUGAAAUGCGUAGAUAUCGGGAGGAACACCAGUGGCGAAGGCGACUACCUGGCCUGUUCUUGACGCUGAGGCGCGAAAGCUAGGGGAGCAAACGGG